AGUGAACGCUGGCGGUAGGCCUAACACAUGCAAGUCGAACGGCAGCACAGUAAGAGCUUGCUCUUACGGGUGGCGAGUGGCGGACGGGUGAGGAAUACAUCGGAAUCUACUUUUUCGUGGGGGAUAACGUAGGGAAACUUACGCUAAUACCGCAUACGACCUACGGGUGAAAGCAGGGGAUCUUCGGACCUUGCGCGAUUGAAUGAGCCGAUGUCGGAUUAGCUAGUUGGCGGGGUAAAGGCCCACCAAGGCGACGAUCCGUAGCUGGUCUGAGAGGAUGAUCAGCCACACUGGGACUGAGACACGGUCCAGACUCCUACGGGAGGCAGCAGUGGGGAAUAUUGGACAAUGGGCGCAAGCCUGAUCCAGCCAUACCGCGUGGGUGAAGAAGGCCCUCGGGUUGUAAAGCCCUUUUGUUGGGAAAGAAAAGCAGCAGGUUAAUACCCCGCUGUUCUGACGGUACCCAAAGAAUAAGCACCGGCUAACUUCGUG
rnacentral:rRNA from 1 species